rnacentral:rRNA from 1 species
CAGCCGCCGCGGUAAUACCGGCGGCCCGAGUGGCGGCCACUAUUAUUGGGCUUAAAGCGUCCGUAGCCGGGUUGGUUAGUCUCCCGGGAAAUCUGGCCGCUUAACGGUCAGAAUUCCGGGAGAUACUGCCAGCCUAGGGACCGGGAGAGGCCGAGGGUAUUCCCGGAGUAGGGGUGAAAUCCUAUAAUCCCGGGAGGACCACCUGUGGCGAAGGCGCUCGGCUGGAACGCGUCCGACGGUGAGGGACGAAGGCCAGGGGAGCAAACCGGAUUAGAUACCCGGGUAGUCCUGGCUGUAAACGAUGCGGACGUUGUGUCGGACAAGCUAUGAGCUUGUCCGGUGCCGGAGGGAAACCGUUAAGUCCGCCGCCUGGGGAGUACGGCCGCAAGGCUGAAACUUAAAGGAAUUGGCGGG